rnacentral:lncRNA from 1 species
GUACCUUCCUGAUUUCUCAGCUACACUUGUCAAAUCUUUGACCUCAAGGAGAGAUACUCAAUUUCGGUUAUAUUCUAAAGGCUUCUAACCCUUCCAAGGGUGUGAAAAGCCUCUGUAGAUCUUAGCAGCUCUCUGCAAUUGGAGAAAGCUCUCUAAGCCUCUGCCGACUCUGUCCACGGAUGAACUUGUCCAGGCCCUUCUUGGCCCAUGAAGGAAGUUGGAAUAGCAAACAG